GUGCUCGCUUUGGUGACACAUAUACUAAAUCUGGAAGACAGAGAGAAGGUGACCACAGCCCCUGUGCAAGAUGGCACACAAGUUCAUGAAACGUUCCCUAUUUUU
rnacentral:snRNA from 1 species